CCGAUAGUCUAGGCCUAUAGCAGCAUAACUAAGGGAUGGUUCAGGACUCACCUGAUCCAGCCCUAACUAUAAGCUUUAUCAAAGAGGAAUGUCUUAAGCCUACUCUUAAAUGUGGUGAGGGUGUCUGCCUCCCGAACCACAACUGGAAGCUGGUUCCACAGGAGAGGAGCUUGGUAACUGAAGGCUCUGGCUCCUGUUCUACUUUUAGAGACUAUAGGAACCACAAGUAGCCCAGCAUUCAGAGAACGUAGUGUUCUAGUGGGGUAAUAGGGUACUAUGAGCUCUUUAAGAUAUGAAGGGGCCUGACCAUGAAGAGCUUUAUAGGUGAGGAGGAGGAUUUUAAAUUCUAUUCUACAUUUUACAGGGAGCCAAUGCAGAGAAGCUAGUACAGGAGAGAUGUGAUCUCUUUUUCUAGUUCCUGUCAGUACUCGUGCUGCAGCGUUCUGAAUUAAUUGGAGCGUUUUAAUGGACUUAUUGGGGCAACCUGAUAAUAAAGAGUUGCAGUAAUCCAGCCUUGAAGUAACAAAUGCAUGGAUUAGUUUUUCUGCAUCCAUCUGUGAUAGUAUGUGUCUAAUUUUUAUAAUAUUACGUAAAUGAAAGAAGGCAGUCCUAGAGGUCUGCUUCAUGUGGGAGUUAAAAGACAAAUCCUGAUCAAAGACAACUCCAAGAUUCCUGACAGUGGUGCUAGAGGCCAAGGUAAUGCCAUCAAGAAUAACUAUAUCUUUAGACAGUCUCUAAGGUUUUUGGGGCCAAGAAUAAGAAUUUCGUUUUUUUCUGAGUUUAACAUCAGAAAAUUGCAAGCUCAUCCGGGAUUUUAUGUCCUUAAGACAUGUUUGUAAUUUAGAUAAUUGAUUAAUUUCAUGAUCUUGAUCGAUAGAUAUAACUGCGUAUCAUCUGCAUAACAGUGAAAGUUAAUGGAGUGAGUCCUAAUAAUGUUGCCUAAAGGGAGCAUAUAUAGAGUAAAUAGUAUUGGUCCAAGUACAGAACCUUGUGGAACUUAACAUGUACAAAAUGCGUACGAUCUGAUAAAUAUGACUUAAACCAGCUUAGUGCGGUUCCUUUAAUGCCAAUUUGAUGCUUAGGUCUCAAAGAAUAUCAUGGGCAAUGGUGUCAAAUGCAGCACUAAGAUCUAAUAAUACAAGUACAGAGACAAGUCCAUUGUCAGAAGCAAUCAGAAGGUCAUUAUUAACUUUAACCAGAGCUGUCUCUGUGCUAUGAUGAACUCUAAAUGCUGACUGAAAAUCCUCAAAUAAACUAUUGUUAUGUAGAAAGUCACACAACUCUUUGGCGACUACUUUCUCCAGAAUCUUAGAGAGGAAGGGGAGCUUAGAGAUUGGUCUAUAGUUGGCUAAAACCCCUGGGUCAACAGUGGGCUUUUUAAGAAGGGGUUUAAUUACAGCUACUUUAAAGGACUGCGGUACAUAUCCUGAUAAUAAAGAAAGAUUAAUCAUAUCCAGUAAAGAAGUGCCAAUUAAGGGAACAACUUCUUUAAGCAGCCUAGUUGGGAUCGGUCUAACAGACAGGUUGAUGGCUUUGAUAAAGAUUGAUAGCAGAAAAACAGUCUAAAUAUAUAUCUAAGUUUACGUUAGCAAAAGUCCCUGAACUUGGAGAGCCACUGAUAACUGUUGAUGGCAGUUGGUGAUUAAUUUUCUCUCUAAUUGUAAUAAUUUUAUUGUGGAAGAAGCUCAUAAAGUCGUUGCUACUUAAGUUUAUGGGAUAUAUGGUGGUGUAACAGAUAUAUGGUGUGUGUCUGAACUGUUGUGUUAUGGUUCUUCUUAGGUUCAGGUGGUUUUCUAUACAGAACCAAUUUCUGUUUUGUCUGAGUUUAACAUUAGUAAACUGAAGGUAAUCCAGGUUUUUAUGUACUAAAGGCAUGCUUGUAAUUGCUUGAUAUAAUUGGGUAUAAUUUGCAUAACAAAUAAAGUUAAUGGAGUGAUUCCUAAUAAUGUAAUUUAUUGAGCAUGGAGGAUUAAUCAUUAACAUUUACAAACUUCUCACAAAUACCUAGCAUUAAACCGGCUGUAGCUCAUCUUGUAGCUGCCAGUAGUUCCUCAUAGGACGCUGAUUGGUCCAAACCACUGUGGUUGGACACAAGUCUUUAAGUCAUUUAACUCCCACAUAAAGCAGACCUCUAGGACCGCCUUCUUUCAUUUACGUAGGCUUAAGACAUUCCUCUUUGAUAAAGCUUAUAGUUAGGGCUGGAUCAGGUGAGUCCUGAACCAUCCCUUAGUUAUGCUGCUAUAGGCCUAGACUAUCGGGGGAUUUCCCAUGGUGCACUGAGCUCCUCCCUUCCUCUCUCUUUCUGCACUCAUUCAUGUCCCAUUAAUGCAUGUUACUAACUUCACUUCUUCCCCGGAGUUCUUGUGCUUUCUCGUCUCGCAGGUUCUCAUGGAUCCUGGUGGAGCCUCCUGCCAUGGUCCUGCUUGACUGCCAUUGCCAAUACUGUUGUUGCUGUGCACCUGUCUGUCUGUCUGUCUGUCUGUCUCUCGCUCUCUCUCUCUCUCUGCCUCUCUCUCUCUCUCUCUCUCUCUCUCUCUCUCUCUCUCUCACCCCAACUGGUCGAGACAGACGACCAACCACCUAGAGCCGGAGGAUCUGUCCUAGGUUUCUGCCUUUUAACAGGCAGUUUUUCCUUGCCCUUGUCGCCAAGUGCUUGCUCAUGGUGGUACUGUUGGGUCUCUGUAAUUAAUGUUGAAGAGUUCGGUCUAGACCUGCUCUAUUUGAAAAGUGUCCUGAGAUAACUUCUGUUAUGAAUUUGCGCUAUACCAAUAAAAUUGAAUUGAAUUGAA